AUUCACGAAGAACUAAAGAGUAUUUCAGGAAUAUCUUCUACUUUCCUAGAGUAAUUGGGAGGGAGGCUAGAGUUUUACCUUUGUAGCAAAUUACCCAACAAUAUAAACAGCUGUUCUGACCCAAAUAUUAUCCUGGACAGUUACGAGCACCAAUGCUGAAAGCAACGAACCCCUUAUGGCUUGGAAUGAAAGAAUCAUCACUAUUGAGACAGUGUCUAUGGGUUAUAACUUAAGGAAUAUGUCCAGUACUUGGAAUAACAAUUAACUGCAUGGAAGUUUGGAAACAAAAAUGUUCCUUUUGGGAUUUUCAUCCUAUUCAUUUAUAUAUCUCCCCUUAGACUCCUGAAUACGCCAAGUUCUUCAACUCGGAUGAGCUCUUAAAUGCGUAGGAAAGCAUCCACAAAAUCAGAAUUGGUGGAAUAGUUAUUAUACUCUUUAAUUACUUAAUCGAUGUAGGCAAAGGUUUUCUCUCGCCAUUUUCUCAUAAUAUCUAUUCAGAAAAUACUCUCAGGUAGAUAAUUAAUAAGUCAAGGCAUGUAAAGAAGAAUUUCUGAGGUUGAAACGAUUUGAAUGCAUUAAUUCAUGGAUUUGAAUAGAGCUUUGAAUGAAGGAUCAUUAGUAGAGGCUCUUUGACUAAAUAUUGUUGACCACACAAUAUUUAAUCCUGACACAUAUUUAUAUCAGAACUGAUGUCCACAUAUUGUUUCUUAUUUGCUUUAGCGAUCAAUCUCUCGAUGAAUUCUUGUAAUUCCUCUCUUGAAUCUUAUUUUUACAUGUAAUGGAUUUUAAAUGCUUAUGGAAAAGGAUUAAUUGAAUUCUCCAUUUAUGAAAAGAAGGAACUUGCAGCACCCUCUAUGCCGAAGUUAAAAAGUUGGAUCAUCAAUAUGUCAGGUUGGAUAUUAAACUCUGUUCAUAAAAAUACUGAUUUAAUAGAUUCAAAGUCAUCCAAAACAUCUGAAAACUCGAUGAGAGACUGACUAGGUUCCUGUAGGUUUGUGAUUAUUCACAAAAGGAUUCAGCCAGACUGAGUGGAUUGAGAAAGGGGAGGUGUCCAAUAAGAACUCCUGUUGAUCUUGGAGGAAGGGGAAUAUCCCGGUUUUUUCUCCUUUGCCCUUUCAAUUUUUCGAAUGCAAUACAAAACAAAAUAGGUAUUUCCAUUGUAGAGUUAGACAUUGACUCAGCUAAUCAGGCACGAGACUAAUAUGGGUGUAUUUUUAAUCCUAUAAAGCCAUCUGCAUCAUAUUUGAUUAAUUAGUUUUUGAAUCCUCCAUUUGAGCAGUUUAACAGUUUUUUGGGUAAGAAACAUAAUGGAUACAUUGCUAAAUGAAUUAUAAUCAGUGGAUUAUGUAGAGAAAAAAGACGAAUUCAGCCCUUAUGGCUUUCAAGUAUUGCUAAAAACAUAUUGUAACUCCGAAAAAGUGCUAAAACCAAGCGAAAUUAUAAAUCUACAGACUGGGAAGCCAAAACUUAAAAGUAGCAUUACUAAAUUACGAGGAACAAUAUUUGUAUGGAAUAAAGUAA
rnacentral:lncRNA from 1 species